rnacentral:rRNA from 1 species
AACGAACGCUGGCGGCAUGCCUAACACAUGCAAGUCGAACGCUACCUUCGGGUCUAGUUGCGCACGGUUGCUUAACGCGUAGUAACCUGCCCUUAGGUUCGGAAUAACUUCCCGAAAGGGGUGCUAAUACCGGAUAUUGUCUUCGUACCAAUUAGUUAUCGCCUUUGGAUGGGUCCGCGUUGGGUUAGCUAGUUGUUAGGGUAAAAGUCUCCCAAGGCGACGUUCCAUAGCUGGUCUGAGAGGAAGAUCAGCAACACUGGGACUGAGACACGGCCCAGACGCGUACGAGAGGGAGCAAUGGGGAAAAGUGGACAGUAGGCGAGAGGCGGAACCAACAAUGCCGCGUGAGUGAUGAAGGCCUUAGGGUUGUAAAGCAGUUUUAACCAGGAUGAUAAUGACAGUACCGGGAGAAGAAGCUCCGGCUAACUCCGUG